AACUGAUACUACCUGCGGGAACCUGCGGAGGGAUCAUUACCGAGUUUACAACUCCCAAACCCAAUGUGAACGUUACCAAACUGUUGCCUCGGCGGGAUCUCUGCCCCGGGUGCGUCGCAGCCCCGGACCAAGGCGCCCGCCGGAGGACCAACCAAAACUCUUUUGUAUGCCCCCUCGCGGGUUUUUUAUAUCUGAGCCAUCUCGGCGCCUCUCGUAGGCGUUUCGAAAAUGAAUCAAAAC
rnacentral:misc_RNA from 1 species